rnacentral:rRNA from 2 species
UACGGAGGAUCCAAGCGUUAUCCGGAUUCAUUGGGUUUAAAGGGUGCGUAGGUGGAAUGGUAAGUCAGUGGUGAAAUCCUGCGGCUUAACUGCAGAACUGCCAUUGAUACUGCCAAUCUUGAGUACAUAUGAAGUGGGCGGAAUGUGUCAUGUAGCGGUGAAAUGCUUAGAUAUGACACAGAACACCGAUUGCGAAGGCAGCUCACUAAACUGUAACUGACACUGAGGCACGAAAGCGUGGGGAUCAAACAGG